AAUGAAACCCCAUUGUGAGUAAUAACACAACUUCCAACCCAACACACCAUACAAGUGCAUAGCACUAAAACACCCUCCAAACACGAACAUGUAUAAGAUCUAAUAAGAAAACCCUCCCAGCACACCAAAAACUCCUGGGCGCAUUAAGCUAAUGUAACAAUAAUCACAAAAGAAUUAAGCUCAUUAUACCAUAGCAUCCCAACUAUACCUGAUCACAUUCCAAGAUUGUUUAAUAAGGCUGUUUUAACAAUUUAAGCAUAUUUACUACUAAUAAUAAGCAUCGUAAGCAUCACCUUGACACUCACAUAAAUCAAUACUCCUACUAAGUUUCAUACAAAAGCAUGCUCAACCUCAACAAAACAUCUCAAAUGUGUAAUUGACUCAUGCUUCCAUAGUUCUAAGACUUUCUCCUUCCCCUUAGCUUUGGAACUUUCUCCAAUCUCAUUAACUUCAUUUUCAAAUCAAAAGAGUAGAAAUGGGUUCUUAAAAUCAUAAUUCAACCAUUGAAACACUUAGAAUUAUUGAAGCAACGCAAUUCCAUAAAGCGAGAUUCCAUUUCGUUUCCUAAGAUUCGCAAGAGAACUCUUUCGACCCCCAACCAAAGCUAACCAAAUCUAAUUCCUAUCGAUUCAACUGUGAUUCAAAGUCUAUAACUUUACCAAAACUCUCCUAGAAAUCAAGAAAACCUCAACACAACUCACUUUCUGUCUCUAGACUGUUUAAUGACAACCCUCCAAAACUCAACUUAAAUUCCAAAUAAAUAUGAAAUUUCCUAUUCCCACAUGAUUCUAGAAUUAAAACCAUUGAGAAACUAACUAAAAAACAACACAAAACUAAAGUUCUCUCUAGCAUUGAAAAACGACGAAAAUGAAUAUAUAAAAUAGAAAAAAAUGCUUAAUUCUUGAAAAAUCUUGAAUCCUAAGAGCUUAAAAUGAUUUAAAUUCUCAAAACCAUUAAAUCUUUAACCUCAUUUCGUUGAAAAUCAUCAGGAAUUGAAAAUCUACCUUUCUUGGAAGCUAACGUGAAAUGCUCAACGGAAGAAGAAAAUUUGAUAUUCAAGCUUGUAAAACUAAAAAGACUGAUAAAAAUUAGUGACAAAAUAAAUUUACCUUGCUGGAAAUUGAUUCCUGGAGCCAAAAACUGAAGAAAAUGGAUACAGAAUUUGAGAAAUGAUUUUGGU
rnacentral:lncRNA from 1 species